AGCGAACGCUGGCGGCAGGCUUAACACAUGCAAGUCGAACGGGCGUAGCUAUACGUCAGUGGCAGACGGGUGAGUAACGCGUGGGAACGUACCUUUUGGUUCGGAACAACACAGGGGAAACUUGUGCUAAUACCGGAUAAGCCCUUACGGGGAAAGAUUUAUCGCCGAAAGAUCGGCCCGCGUCUGAUUAGCUAGUUGGUGAGGUAACGGCUCACCAAGGCGACGAUCAGUAGCUGGUCUGAGAGGAUGAUCAGCCACAUUGGGACUGAGACACGGCCCAAACUCCUACGGGAGGCAGCAGUGGGGAAUAUUGGACAAUGGGCGCAAGCCUGAUCCAGCCAUGCCGCGUGAGUGAUGAAGGCCUUAGGGUUGUAAAGCUCUUUUGGCGGGGAAGGAUAAUGACGGUACCCGCAGAAUAAGCUCCGGCUAACUUCGUGCCAGCAGCCGCGGUAAU
rnacentral:rRNA from 1 species